rnacentral:lncRNA from 1 species
UUGCGGAGUGGACUUUUGGUUCUGAUGAGCGUCCUUAGUCUCUUUUUCUUGAUUCCGGUUUCUUCUCAUGUAAACCUGCAAUUCCUUUGUUUGUUCCAUAUCCUUGUCAUUAAUUGUAUCAUGAAAAGGCUCUACUGUCUCAGUUUCCUUAUUUUCAUUAUAUAAGUUGGAAUCUCUUACCUUAUCAAGGUUGCUACUACCAAAAGUACUUUUUCCCG